rnacentral:rRNA from 1 species
GACGUAGGAUGCAAGCGUUGUCCGGAUUUAUUGGGCGUAAAGAGUUCGUAGGCGGUCUGUUAAGUCUGAUGUUAAAGAUCGGGGCCCAACCCUGGGAGUGCAUUGGAUACUGGCAGGCUUGAGUGCAGUAGAGGCGAGUGGAAUUCCCAGUGUAGCGGUGAAAUGCGUAGAUAUUGGGAAGAACACCGGUGGCGUAGGCGACUCGCUGGGCUGUAACUGACGCUGAGGAACGAAAGCCAGGGGAGCGAAUGGG